rnacentral:rRNA from 1 species
GACGUAGGGCGCGAGCGUUGUCCGGAUUUAUUGGGCGUAAAGAGCUCGUAGGCGGCUUGUCGCGUCGACUGUGAAAUCCCGCGGCUCAACUGCGGGUCUGCAGUCGAUACGGGCAGGCUAGAGUUCGGUAGGGGAGACUGGAAUUCCUGGUGUAGCGGUGAAAUGCGCAGAUAUCAGGAGGAACACCGGUGGCGAAGGCGGCAUCCUGGACCAACACUGACGCUGAGUGAGCGAAAGCCAGGGGAGCAAACGGG